rnacentral:rRNA from 1 species
GACGAACGCUGGCGGCGUGCCUAAUACAUGCAAGUUGAGCGCUGAAGGUUGGUACUUGUACCAACUGGAUGAGCAGCGAACGGGUGAGUAACGCGUGGGGAAUCUGCCUUUGAGCGGGGGACAACAUUUGGAAACGAAUGCUAAUACCGCAUAAAAACUUUAAACACAAGUUUUAAGUUUGAAAGAUGCAAUUGCAUCACUCAAAGAUGAUCCCGCGUUGUAUUAGCUAGUUGGUGAGGUAAAGGCUCACCAAGGCGAUGAUACAUAGCCGACCUGAGAGGGUGAUCGGCCACAAUGGGACUGAGACACGGCCCAAACUCCUACGGGAGGCAGCAGUAGGGAAUCUUCGGCAAUGGACGAAAGUCUGACCGAGCAACGCCGCGUGAGGGAAGAAGGUUGUCGGAUCGUAAAACUCUGUUGGUAGAGAAGAACGUUGGUGAGAGUGGAAAGCUCAUCAAGUGACGGUAACUACUCAGAAAGGGACGGCUAACUACGUG